AUUUUGCGAAAUAAUAGGUUGGAUGGAGAAUUGCCUGAGUCUUUAAGAAAUUGCACCAACCUUGGUUUUGUCGAUUUUGGUUUGAACGGCCUAUCUGGAACUGUGCCGGCAUGGAUUGGGCAAGAUCUACCGCAGUUGUAUGGUCUAGUUUUGAAAUCCAACAAAUUUUAUGGGAGCCUGCCUGAUGAUCUGUGUCAUCUCUCAGAUCUUCAUUUUCUAGACCUGUCCAUGAACAGACUUUCAGGAAAUGUCCCUCAAUGCUUCAGCAGUCUGAUUGCUAUGACUAAUCAUAGAACUAAAACAACAGAUCAUCACAAAGCAUCUCUAUAUCGUAGAAAAUGUUCAGAAAUAACCUAUUGUACGAGCAAUAUUGAUGAUGGUGUUUCAUUUCUGGAUGAAGCAUUGGCAGGUUGGAAAGGAAAGGAACGAGAAUACAGGGGAAAUUUCCCUUACCUUAAGAUGAUAGAUCUUUCCAGCAACAAAUUUACUGGAGGAUUUCCUGCUGGAAUAACAAGGCUUGUCGAUCUCAAAGGAUUGAACCUCUCGAGGAAUCAGUUUGAUGGAAAAGUUCCGGUACAAAUUGGUAGACUACUUCAAUUGGAAGUUCUUGAUCUGUCUGGUAACAAAUUUUCAGGUGAUAUCCCUCGAAAUAUGUCUGAUUUAACCUUUCUUGCUUAUUUAGAUCUCUCGACCAAUAACUUAUCUGGAAGAAUCCCAUUAGAAGUUCAACUCCAGACAUUCAAUUCUUCAAUGUAUGAGGGGAAUCCUGGACUCUGUGGCUUGCCACUCACAAAAAGAUGUCCUGGAGAUAAAACAAGUGUCAAAGUCCCCCCACCAUCUACUGGAAAUGAAGUUGAUGAAGACGAGAUUUUAUAUGAGAGAUGGUUAUAUAUAAGUGCAGCUCUUGGUUUCAGCACUAGUUUUUGGGGAAUAUGUGUAACUCUACUUGUUAACAGGCGCUGGAGACAUGCAUAUUUCCUGUUCUUGACGAACUUAAAGGAUCAGUUUUAUGUGUUCAUGGUAGUGCGCAUUGCCAGAUUGAAGGUAAGGCUCCAAGGUUGACUUGAAGGUAAUAUAGACACUUCUUUGCUCUGAUUAUUUUUUUUUAUUUAAGACCAGCAAAGUAUUCACUACGAAAAGGCCAUUUUCUUUAACUUGUGUUAACCAUCUUGUGCAUUUUUUUUUGUAACUACUUGAUUCUCUUUGAAGCUAAUCGAAGCUUUAUAUCUGUAUUUGCUUUCACAGGUCACCCAGCAAGAGGAAAGGCCAUGUUUCAGCCUGGAGUUUAUCUGUCGAGUUUGAUUCAUCAAUCUCGUUAUUGCAGUUAGUAGAGUACAAAUAUUGGCAAGAUAUUGCCAUUUGGUUGUGAUCUUAGAGAUGGCUUCUGCAUCUCAUUCAUUGGAUUGGAGUGAAACAUGAAGAAUAAGUCUGCAUAGGAUUUUAUUUAGAUAUUAACGCAGUAAUCUGUGAGUGUGUUUGGGACAAGUACUGCACUGUGUUAUUCAUCAGCUAAAAGCGAUUGUGAUUUGUGCAUAUAUUGUGCCUGUUUUGGCAACCCCAUAAAAAAGCACCUAUUUUUCAAAACAAAUUAUAUUUUUUUUGUUUGGGAUAUUGAUAUUAAUGUGAUAUUUCGUAUUCGUUAUUUGAUAAAAAAAUUAAUGAUUUAUUUUAAGAAAAUAGAUGUUUAUAUAAUUUUCUCUAGAAAUAAGAUUUCUGAAAUCAUCGAUUAUUAAAUAUUUUCGAAUGUAAUUCACAACCAGAGGACUGAACUCAGAAGCCCUCUCGAGUCUCAGUUUCUCGCUCUUAACACGAUAUGAAUAUGGUUUGGUAAGUUCAACAUCACUCAGAAGAUAUUAACCUUUGGAGUCAUAACAAGGGAAAUUUGGCAUUAAGAACAUUGGAUUAAGAGACUACAAUGCUCGUGGCCAUUCCCACAUUUUUCUAAAUGCCCAUGUCGACUAUAACUUAAGUCUCUUUGAUACAUUAUUAAAAGGGUCAAACAAAUUGUUCAAAACCGCCGAAAUGUCCAUGUGGACUAUAACUCAAUCUGUUUGAUAUAUUAUUAAAAGAAAAAAUAUUAUCUAUGUCAGUUACAUGACCUGAGGAUCAUAGAGGCCGAGCAUUGUAGUUGCUCUUCGAACAACUACAAUGCUAACGGCCAUAUCCCAUUUUUUUUAGCCUAGAAAUGUCACACCGAUCACCAGACUAUUAAAGUGUUCCUAUACAUUAUAACUCAAAUCUUUCCGAUACAUUAUUAGAAAAAAUACAUUGUCCACGUCAGUUUACAUGGAUUGAGUACUAAUUAGGCCGAACGCUUAGAAGAAGCUCUAAAGCUUCACCAACGAAAUCUAUGAAGUACGACCAAUUGACUCAAUAACUAUGUCAAGUUCUAUAAAGAAAACAAAAUAAACUACAAUACGAAGUAGGUUUAAUCACUUUACACGUUACGAAAAAAUUGAAUAUGAUGGAAACCAAAUCGCCAGAAAAGGCUUAAAAUUGAACCUAAUAAUGUAUGAUUCCCGUUCCAGGUUGAAAUCAAACGGAAAGAAACCGAAUUGAUCCAAUUAUGAAAGAAAUGAUUAAUUAUACAGUUAUUACCUUUGGCCGCGUUAAAGCUAGGAAGCAACACGGUCUUUAUAGUUCAUAUAAUAAUUCACAUGUCAAGACUUGAGCAAUGAGCAGAGUCUUUGUUUAUUUACUUUAAUCUUUAACUAAUUGCAGAGCCUUUAUCAGGCUUCCUUUCCUUGAGCAUUCCCAGUUAAGUUUAAUACUAGAUUAGAGGACAGACCUCCUAAUUAAUAGAUUAAUUGACUGACCUAGAUUACAAGUAUACUGAGUCAUGAUCAAUACAUGUUUUUCUAAACUUUUAUAUUUUUAUAAUAAAAUUAUUAUACCUUUUUUUUAAAUCAAUGAUCCUACAAGAAAAUUUCUCCUAUAAAAACAUAUAAUACCAUAAUACCAAACACAUACUAUCUGCAUGUUUAUCAGUACUAUAUCUUAUAGAAAGUAAUUCAUUUAAUCUUAUUAGAAUGGCGAUGAGGAAUGCUAUGCAUGUUUGGUUUCUAGUUUUUGGUAUGCUUUCCAUGGAAACAAUCUUAGCAUCAUCAGAGCUGGAAUCAAACAAGACGAUGGUGAAUAAUAAUAUCAAGUGCAUUGAAACAGAGAGACUUGCUCUGCUCGACAUCAAACGAGGCCUUGUUUCUACAUUGCGCGGUCUUUCUUCAUGGGGAAGCAACAAAGACGAGAAAAACUGCUGCCAGUGGAGUUCAGUAGAGUGCGACCUCAACACUGGUCAUGUUACCCAUCUUCGUCUUUCAUUCCUUAGUUAUCGUUAUGUUCAUGGUGAACCCACAGCUUCCAAUAUCAGUUCUUCUUUGCUUCUUCUUAGGAAUCUACAGUACCUCGAUCUCAGUUAUAAUAUAUUUGACAUUUCAUUUCUGAGUUCCAUUGGUUCCCUGACAAACUUGGUUCACCUUGAUCUUUCUAGUUCUCAGUUUCAAGGAGCAAUCCCAGAUGAGCUUGGGAAUCUCUCCAAGCUCAGUUAUCUCGAUUUCAGUGAUAAUAUAUUUGGCAUUUCAAUUCCGAGUUUCAUUGGUUCCCUGACAAACUUGGUUCACCUUGAUCUUUCUAGUUCUGGGUUUCAAGGAGCAAUUCCAGAUGAGCUUGGGAAUCUCUCCCAGCUUAGUUAUCUCGAUCUCUCCUAUAAUCAACUUGAAGGUAUGGUGCCAAACUCUUUCCAUAGUUUGUCCAGUUUACAAACUGUGGAUUUUACCUCAAACAAGCUCACUGGUAAUCUUCAAGAUCUCUUUUAUCUGUUGCCUAAGGCUAAGGCUACUUUACAGACAUUGUUGAUAUCUGAAAAUCAACUUACUGGUUCACUGCCUGAUAUCACAGCAUUUUCGUUCCUCACAGAAUUGAAUGUUCAGUCCAAUCAGUUAAAUGGAUUUCUACCAAAAAAAUUCGAACACAAAUCAGUUUUAGAAGCCUUGUCUUUGUCAGAUAAUCACCUCCAAGGUUCUUUACCUAAUUUCUCAGGAUUUUCAUUCUUAAAGUAUUUAAAUCUUAAUGAUAAUAAAUUUUCUGGGAGUCUUCCUGAUUUUGAUGGAUGUUCGGCGUUGGAAUCCUUGCAUCUUCGUGGGAAUCAAUUGACUGGAUGGGAAACUCAAUCAAUAGGACAACUCACUAAUCUUGUUCAGCUAGAUCUUUCAAGGAAUUCGAUCAACAGCACAAUCAAUGAACAUCACUUGUCGGAACUUUACAAUUUGUACCAGAUGAAUGCAUCAUUUAAUUCUUUGACAUUCAAUAUGAGUUCCGAUUGGCUCGCCCCUUUCAAACUUGACCAUCUUUCUUUGGCAUCAUGCAGGUUGGGGCCAAAAUUUCCCAUUUGGAUCCGAAAUCAAACUAAAAUUAGUAUUCUUGAUUUCUCAAGCACCCAAAUUUCAGAUACCAUUCCCAUGUGGUUCUGGGACAACUUUACCAGGAUCAGUAUAUUAGAUCUCUCUUCCAACAAAAUCAGUGGCACGUUGUCCUCCAUACCAUUACAUAUUGAUGUGAUAAAUUUGAGUUCUAAUUACUUUGAAGGACCGUUACCGCUCAUUUCACCGCUAUGUUUGGAAAUAAAUCUCUCUCAUAAUAAUUUUUCAGGAAAACUAGUAUUAUCUAAAGCUGAAGUUUUCGGUUUGAGUUUGAGGUUUCUUGAUCUUUCUCAUAAUUUAUUGUUUGGCGAGAUUCCCGAUAGUUGGAAAAACUUUGAAGAUCUCAUAUUUCUCAAUCUAGGAAAUAACAAUUUUUCGGGUAGAAUUCCUAUGUCCAUAAGGUAUCUACAUUCUCUCAAUAAAUUGAUUUUACGAAAUAACAGGUUGGAUGGAGAAUUGCCUGAGUCUUUAAGAAAUUGCACCAACCUUGGUUUUGUUGAUUUUGGUUUGAACGGCCUAUCUGGAACUGUGCCGGCAUGGAUUGGGCAAGAUCUACCGCAGUUAUAUGCUCUAGUUUUGAAAUCCAACAAAUUUUAUGGGAGCCUGCCUGAUGAUCUGUGUCAUCUCUCACAUCUUCAUUUUCUAGACCUGUCCAUGAACAGACUUUCAGGAAAUGUUCCUCAAUGCUUCAGCAGUCUCAUUGCUAUGACUAAUAAUGGAACUAGAACAAAAGAUCAUCACAACAAUCGUAUACUUUCAGCGUCUCCAUAUAGUAAUUCUCCAUAUCAUAGCGGAUGUUCAGCAAUAACCCGUUGUAGGAGAAAUGGCGGUGAUUCUUCAUAUCUGGAUGAAGCAUUCGCAGGUUGGAAAGGAAAGGAACGAGAAUAUAGGGGAAAUUUCGCUUACCUUAAGAUGAUAGAUCUUUCCAGCAACAAGUUUACUGGAGGGUUUCCUACUGGAAUAACAAGGCUUCUCGAUCUCAGAGGAUUAAAUCUCUCGAGGAAUCAGUUUUAUGGAAAAGUUCCUCUACAAAUUGGUAGACUCUUUCAGUUGGAAGUUCUUGAUCUGUCUGGUAACAAAUUUUCUGGUGACAUCCCUCGAAAUAUUUCUGGUUUAACUUUUCUUGCUUAUUUAGAUCUCUCGAGCAAUAACUUUUCUGGGAGAAUCCCAUUAGGAGGUCAACUCCAGACAUUCAAUUCUUCCAUGUAUGAGGGGAAUCCUGGACUCUGUGGCUUGCCACUCACAAAAAGAUGUCCCGGAGAUGAAACAAGUGUCGAAGUUCUCCCACCAUCUAAUGGAAAUGAAGUUGAUGAAGAUGAGAUUUUAUAUGAGAGAUGGUUAUAUAUAAGUGCAGCACUUGGUUUCAGCACUAGCUUCUGGGGAAUCUGUGUAACUCUACUUGUUAACAGGCGCUGGAGACAUGCAUAUUUCCUCUUCUUAACGAAGUUAAAGGAUCAGCUUUAUGUGUUGGUGGCAGUGCGCAUAGCCAGAUUGAAGGUAAGGCUCCAAGGUUGACUUGAAGGUGAAGGUAAUAUUGAUACUUCUUUUCUCUGAUUUUUUUUUUUUUAUUUAACACCAGCAGAGUAUUCACUAAGGAAAGGCCAUUUUCUUUAACUUGUGUUGACCAUCUUGUGCAUUUUUUAUAACUUCUUCAUUCUCUUCGAAGCUAACCUAAGCUUUAUAUCUGUAUUUGCUUUCACAGGGCGGCCACCGAGAGAAAAGGCCAUGUUUCAGACUUGCCUGGAGUUUAUUCUGUGGAGAUGGCCUCUACAUCUCAUUCAUUGUCGUCACCUACUAUGUAUUGGAGUGAAACAUGAACAAUAAGUUUGCAUAUGAUUUAGAUAUCUAAAGACUAAAGUAGUACUGUGUGUGUUUGUGUGCGUUUUUGGGACAGGUAUUGCAUAUUAUGAAAAUCUGUAUAGUCAUCCCAUAUUCCCAUCACUCCUAGUCUUUAAUAGUUCAAAUUUGUUAAUGUACUAUAAAUAAAUAAAUUUCUGAUUUUUUAUAAUUUAUUAUUUAAUUCAAGGAAGUGUGGUAGCUGGGUGUGUUUGAGCUCUGUCAGACGAUUACAGUUGUGUACCUUAAUUAUUUUGCUUUAGUUUUUCUAAUCAUGUGUUAAUGUUAGUUGUAUUUCCUUCUGAAAGAGGUAAAAGGAGAUUAACAGCAGUACGUGGAAUAGAGAUUCUGCAAUAUUUCCUGUUUAUUUUUGUUUGUUCAGAAAAAGGAUGUUCCAGCCAUCUUCGUAUUCACAUCUUUAUAAACUUCAUGUUGCAGAACCCAAGUCCAUACGGUGUGUUACACUUCGUACCUAAGUCAAAUUAAUAUAUUAAUAUGAUAUAUAUUAUAAAGCUAUGAACGGAUUUAGCAAGCUAUUAAUUAACUUAUGCAUAGUGCUUAUUGCAAUAUAAGCUUGUAAUUAACGUUAUCCUCCAUACAAUUAUAUAUCGAUGUGAUAAAUUUGAGUUAUAAUUACUUUGAAGGACCAUUACCUCUCAUUUCCUCAAAGUGUUCGGAACUUAAUCUAUCUCAUAAUAACUUUUCAGGAAACUAGUAUUAUCUGCUUCUGAAAUUAUGGGUUUGAGGUUUCUUGACCUUUCUCAUAACUUAUUGUUUGGUGAGCUUCCUUAUAGUUGGAAAUAUUUUGAGAAUCUCGUGUUUCUUAAUCUUGGAAAUAAUUAUUUUUGGGGUAGAAUUCCUAUGUCUAUAGGUAUCUACAUUCUCUCAUUUUAUCUCUCGCAUCUUCAUUUUCUAGACCUGUCCAUGAAAAGACUAUCAGGAAAUGUUCCUCAAUGCUUCAGUAGUCUUAUUGCUAUGAUUAAUGGAACUAAAACAACAGAUCAUCACAACAAUAGUGCGUCUCCUUAUAGAAGGGAAUGUUCUGUUAAAAGCCAUUGCAGGUUUAGCGAGAGCAUUGUAAUAUAUGAUUAUCUGGAUGAUGCAUUGGCGGGUUGGAAAGGAAAGGAACGAGAAUAUAGAGGAAAUUUCGCUUAUCUUAACAUGAUAGAUCUUUCCAGCAAUAAAUUUACUGGAGAAUUUCCUGCUGGAAUAACAAGGCUUCUGGAUAUGAAAGGAUUGAACCUCUCGAGGAAUCAGUUUGAUGGAAAAGUUCCAGAACAAAUUGGUAGACUAGUUCAGUUGGAAGUUCUUGAUCUGUCCAGUAACAAUUUUUCAGGUAAAAUCCCUCGAAGUAUGUCUGGUUUAACCUUUCUUGAUUAUUUAGAUCUUUCGACCAAUAACUUGUCUGGAAGAAUCCCAUUAGGAAGUCAACUCCAGACAUUCAACUCUUCCCUGUAUGAGGGGAAUCCUGGACUCUGUGGCUUGCCACUCACAAAAGGAUGUCUGGGAGAUGAAACAAGUGUCGAAUUUCAACCAUCUUUUGAAGGAAAUGAAGUUGACGAAGAUGAGAUUGUAUAUAGGAGAUGGUUAUAUAUAAGUGCAGCCUUUGGUUUCAGUAUUAGCUUUUGGGGAAUCUGUGUAACUCUACUUGUUAACAGGCGCUGGAGACAUGCAUAUUUCAUGUUCUUAACGAACUUAAAGGAUCAGCUUUAUGUGUUCAUAGUAGUGCACAUUGCUAAAUUGAAGGUAAGGCUUCAAGGUUGAGUUCAAGGUAAUAUAAAUACUUCUUUUCUCUGAAUACUUGUUUUUUGAGAUGAGCUAAAAUACAAUUGUGCAUCUACUACGAAAAUCUUGAAAUAAGAAAUACGAGAGUGUAACAAUGAUCUGUGAUGCAGAUGUCUCUAAAUUGUAUUUGAUUUCAUCAUCUUUUUAUUGCAUUUGAAUUUAGCUUAAAUUCAAAAUACAUAUCUUUCAUUUUUGCAUAAACGCAUGCUAAUACAUUUUGGUUCUUUAUUCAUGAAAUAAUGUAGGUGUGUAGAUUUUUUAAGGAGAAUUUAAGGAAGUGUGGUAGGUGUGUUUCAACUCUGUCAGACAAUUACAGUUGUGUACCUUAUGGUCUUUUUCUUGAAUUUUUCAUAUCAUGUGUUAAUGUUAGUUGUAUUUCCUUCUGGUAAAGAGGUAAAAGGAGAUUAAAAGCAGUACAAGGAAUUGAGAUUCUACAGGAAAUUAUUUCCUGUUUGUUUUUCUUUGUUUGGAAAAAGCAUUUUCAGCCGUCUUCGUAUUCACCUCUUAUAUAUUUUUCAUGCUGCAGAACCCAACUCCAUACUGUGUAUUUGACACUUCGUACCUGAGUCAAAGUAAUAUGUUAAUAUAAUAUAGACUAUGACGCUAUGAACGGAUUUACCAAGCUACUAAUUAACUUAUGCAUAGUCCUUGGUUGAUAGUGCUUAUUGCAAUUUAAUCUUGUAAUUAUAUGUUUAUAAUGUGCAAGUAAGUAUAUAUAGAGUUUGGUUUUUUAUUUUCUUUUAAAUUUAAGAGUGCAAUUAGGCAUCAGUAUAGCAAAAAUAUGUCUGGAAUGUACAUGUUCUGGGAGUUUGCUUGCAGUCAAUCUGUGCUUUAGAUCAAGUCAGCCCUGAAUACAAUAUGUCAUUUCAGAAAAAUGCUAUAUAAUUAAAGAAAUUUCCUAAAACUUUUACAGUACUCAUAAAUUAGAUAUGAUAACAGAUAAUAUAAUUUGUUAUAGGUCUACUUGUCUCAACUCUAAUUUUGCAUUUGGAAGUAAUGUAGUAGAAAUAUCAAUACUAUUCAUGCUAUUGGCGACGAGAUCUCUGGUGUUCUAAUUUGUAUAUAGUUUAUGAGAAGACUUCUUGUAUCCAGCACUGUUGGUUCUGUGAAAGUGUUGAUCUCUGACAAUGUUUUUGUGAUGAAUGCUUGUUCUGUUGUUCAUCGAGCAGUUCUUUUUUCACUGAUUAACUUGUUUUUUCUUACAGCAUUUCACUAAAGAUCGUCAACUUCUGCAAUGCCUUGAGAACAGAGUGUUGCCUGCCAGAUAAUCUGAAAUGUAGCUGCUCGAAGCGAAACAUGGAUCGAAGAUGGUUCUAUUUUAUUGAAGUCAUUCGAUUAAACUGGUUCUCUGCGUAUAAUUAAGUUUACAUUCUGCUGUAUUCGAUAUGUUGUUCUUAUCAAAUCAUGUUAUUGGAAUUAAUAGGAUAAAGUUCAGCUGAUAGACGCUCUCUAUGAACUCCCUUUCUGUUUAAAUUAUAUAUAUAUAAAUAAAUUAUAAAAUUAUAUUUUAUAAAAACAUUAAAGUGUGUGUCGAGCAGUGAAAGAAAAUGUAUAGAAUUGAGUGGGAUGUAAGUACAAUAAAGUGAACAUUUAUAUGAUUUAUUAUUUAAUUGUUGUUAUUUUCUAUCAAAAUUUUAAAUUUUUUAUUUUAUUUUAGUCAAUGUUCUAAAAGUCGGCGACUAAUCGGUAUUAAUCGCUGUUGGUCGGUCACUGUCACGGUUAAGUGAUAAUCGGUGAAAAAAUCAUUUUCCUUGAAAAAUCGGUCAAGAAAAGGUAUAACCGGUAAAAACUCAGGAAAUUUAUUUAUUUUUUAAUAAAAAAUCAAAGUUAAGAAAAUUUGAAAUUAAUUUUAAGACUCAUAGUACUAUUGUCUUAUAGGGCGAAUUGGCCUAAAUAUGUUGAGUUUGUUCAACAACCAACUCCCACAUGUCACAGUGGAAUUCCCACAUUUUGCCAAUAGUGUGUAGCAAAACUACAAUCAAAGAAAACAUGAAGGAGAUGUUCUACCUCAAUCCCACACAUAUAUAGGACACACUAUAGGCACUGCAUAACUGCAUUGCAUCUUUUCUAUUAAAAAUUGGACUGGAACAUUAUUCCUGCAAAACCUUCAAAGCAAAAACUUCACUUUUGGCGGAACUUUUAGAUUCAAGCAACUCUUUAAUAACACCCAUUCUUGAGCACGUUUGGAUAGCUCAGUGGUUAAGAGCUUAUCCUCUGUCGUCCCAGGUCUUGGGUUCAACUUUAUUAAAGAGCUAACGUUUUUCUAUCAACAAUUCGAUAACUGGACAUAAGUUAAUGAUCAGUGUUUCUGUUAUAUUCAGUGCUUUGGUGCAAGUCAAAUUGUUGUAAUGUACUCCCUGCUUUAGUUUCCUUGCUAAGUACUGACUUCAAUAACAGGGCUCACACUAUCCUAUGAAUCACUUUCAGCAUCUAUGGCAGAAGCUAAAUCUAAAUGUAUAUUAAAGAAGAUGAAAUCAAAUAGUACAAUUAGAAACUGUCAUUGUCAUUAUACAGAUCAUUGACACUGUCAUACUUAGCACAAAAACACACACACUGCCAUCAUAUCUAAGUCCUCUGCAGACUUAUUCUUCAUGUUUCAAUCCAAUCCAUGGUAGCCAUCUCUAAGAUCAGAACUGCAUAACGACUGCAAUAGCGGGAUUAAUAAAUCAAACUCGACAGAAUAAAUUCCAGUCUUGACAAGGGCGAGUCUGAAACAUGACCUUUUCUCUUGGUGAGCGCCCUGUGAAAGCAGAUACAAAUAUAAAGCUUCGGUUAGCUACGAAGAGAAUGAAUUAAUUAAACAAAAUGCACAAGGUGGUUAACCCAAGUGGCAUAGGCGGAUAAUAAAUCUAAAGAUAUAUCAUAUAUCUAAACAUAUAACAAACCAAGGAAAUAUCAGCAAAUGAAGAAAAAUAUAUUUAAAGAUAUUCUUCAAAUCCGAAAGAUUUCAUUACACAAUAUUUACAAGAUAUUUACCUUAAACUUUCUUAGUGAAUACUUUGUUGGCCCUAAAACAAAAAACCAAUAAUCAGAGAAAAGAAGUAUUUAUAUUACCUUAAACUCAACCUUGAAGCAAUACUUUCAAUCUAGCAAUGUGCACUACCAUGAAGACAUAAACCUGAUCCUUUAAGUUCGUUAAGAACAGGAAAUAUGAAUGUCUCCAGUGCCGGUUAAGAAGUAGAGUUACACAGAUUCCCCAGAAGCUAGAGCUGAAAGCCUGAAACCAAGUGCUGCACUUAUAUAUAACCAUCUCUCAUAUAAAAUCUCGUCUUCAUCAAAUUCAUUUCCAUUAGAUGGUGGGGGAACUUUGACACUUGUUUUAUCUCUUAGUAACCUCCCUUGUCUCCAUUUUACUUUGUUCAUUAAAUAUUAUAUAUAAAUAGUUAUAUAAAUUAUGUGUAAUAUACACACACAUCUAUAAAUAGAUAGUUGCUCCUCCCAUUUUUGAUGGCUUAUUACUACCAAUGCCCUUCAUCAGCUUUUUAAUUACAUAUCAUGCCAUUGAUUUUAUUAAAUCUGCAUCCACGUGCAAAGUAACACGGGAUAGUACAUCAGCAUUUAAUAACAAGUUUCAGCCGCUGGGUAACAUAAGCUACUACUGGAUACUGCAUAUAUUCUCCUACACAGCACUGAUAUGUACUUCCUAUCUCACAAAUUCUCCUUUUCAAUUUGAAUUUGAAUUCUGGAAAGAGGUUUUCUCUCUUCAUUCAUACAAGCAGAUACAUAUAUUCUAUAGUCUUCCCUCUCCCAAUCGAUGGAUGAGGUUAGUUUACCCGGCGUUUGUAUAUAACUAUUUUGUCCUACAUGAUUAUUCUAUGAAUUAGUUUAAUUUUAACAAUUUAACAAUUUCGGGCUAUCCAGUAUCUGCUGUUGCUGGUUCUACAAACAAACAUGGAAAGGGUGAUGGAGACAUGGAGUUCUUCGAACCUGGUAUGUUCUUGAUCGGCCUCUGUUUUUUUCCCGUACUCUUUGCCGUCUUCCAACUGUUUGUUAUAAUUUCAAUGUGCAUUCUUCUUUUAUCGUGCUUAGGAAAAUCGCCUAGGACGCCUUUUAGUGAUGUUACCUUAACAAAACAAUCACUUAUAACUCGCAACAGUGAACCCUACACAGAUUUUUAAUCAUAAAAAUAAAGGAUUAUCAGUCUACUAGACAAUAAAAAUACAAUCUUUUUAACUCUAUGAUUUCGGUAUGCAAGUAAGGUUUGGGACUAGUAUAUAUUACAUAUAAUCUAACAAUGCCCAACUGGCCAACACUGGUAAUUAUACUCUGACACUGCCAAACUAACCAAACCUAAUAUCAAGGAACAAGAGUAAAAUAUUACUUGUAAAUAAAUCAAGAACUAAUAAAAAAUCUCUUUUCUUUUGUUUCUAGAAAACAUCUUAUAUUCUAAUGUACUCACAAAUCAAUUAAAUGAAUAAAAGAAGUUAAAUAAUUUAAUUAUUUCCAAAUCAAAAUAUAUAAUAAUUAAUAACAUGUUAAAUAAAUAUUAAAAACCUUUGACAAAUACAAAUAUCACUGGUAACACCAUUUUAACACAUCCACAUAUAUUACCGAUGCAUAAAAUACACACAUAUAUAAUUCGUAAAGUCAUAGAAAAAUAUAAUAAAUUAAAUAUAAGAAAAUAUAAUUGUUAUGUAUAUAUAUAUAUUAUAUAUAUAUACAUAACAAUUAAACAAAAACUACGAAUAUUAGAAGCGUUUGCUUUUUCGCUGAGUUCAGUGAUUUGAAAGGGCUGAGUUGUAAAUUUUUAGGGUUUUUUUUCCAAAUUAAUUUAAAGAUUUUGUGUUGAGUGAUUUGAAAACACAUUUUUUAGGGGGUGUGGUUCUUAUGUUUUUGCAGAGUUUGCUGAUUCUUAAUUUUACAUUUAUCCUUUAUGUAGAAAAUGCAUGUGAAAGCUCUAAUCCGCGACUUUCACAACUCCAAUCAGUAAGGGCAGGACCAACUAGAACAAGGAGAGUCGGGUGAUGAUGAUUUGGACAUCACAACCGAAAUUCGAGAGGUAAUUCUAAUUUUUAAUUUUUUAGGGUUUGCUUUAUUCUCCAAUUAAUUUAAAGAUUUUGUAUUUUGUGAUUUGAAAACACAUUAUUAGGGUUCUUUGUGCUUAUUUUUAAUUUUUAGGGUUUGCUUUUUCCCUGUGUUCAGUGAUUUGAAAGGGCUGAGUUUUAAAUUUUUGAGGUUUUUUUCGAAUUAAUUUAAAGAUAUUGUGUUGAGUGAUUUGAAAACACAUUUUUUAGGGGUGGUGGUUCUUAUGUUUUUGCAGAGUUUGCUAAUUCUUAAUUUUACAAUUAUCCUUUAUGUAGAAAAUGCAUGUCAAAGCUCUUAUCCGUGACCCUCGCAACUCCAAUCAGCAAGGACAGGCCCAACCAGAACAAGUAGAGUCCGGUGAUGAUGAUUUGGAAAUCGGAACCGAAAUUCGAGAGACGAGAGGUAAUUCUAAUUUUUAAUUAUUUAGGGUUUGCUUUAUUCCCCAAUUAAUUUAAAGAUUUUGUAUUUUGUGAUUUGAAAACACAUUAUUAGGGUUCUUUGUGCUUAAUUUUUAAUUCUUAGGGUUUGCUUUUUCCCCUGUGUUCAGUGAUUUGAAAGGGCUGAGUAUUAAAAUUUUAGAGUUUUUUUCCGAAUUAAUUUAAAGAUUUUGUGUUGAGUGAUUUGAAAACACAUUUUUUAGGGGUGGUGGUUCUUAUGUUUUUGCAGAGUUUGCUGAUUCUUAAUUUUACAUUUAUCCUUUAUGUAGAAAAUGCAUGUUAAAGCUCUUAUCUGUGACUCUCACAACUCCAAUCAGCAAGGACAGGCCCAACCAGAAAAAGGAGAGUCCGAUGAUGAUGAUUUACAUAACAGAACUGAAAUUCGAGAGGUAAUUCUAAUUUUUCUUUUUUUUUGGAGUGCUGUUGUUUAGUAUAUAAUAUUUUGUUAUGAAUAGGACUAUGUUAAGGACCUUGGUGCCAGUAAAGCGGAAAGAACAAGGAAAGACUGAUUCUGUGCAUGUAUUCCUGUGGUUAGGCAGGAAAGACUGAGUAUGUGCAUAUAUUCAUGUGGUUUGGCCUUUUUUUACCAUAAUUUCUGAUGAAACAUGUAAGCAUUGCAAAGUUUUCCUAUUAGAAGUCUCCGUGCAUAUAUUCCCGUGGUUAGCCUUUUUUUACCAUAAUUUCUGGUGAAACAUGUAAGCAUUGUAAAUAAUCUUGAAUUUCUAUACUAUGACUGGUAAGUUUUUGGGUGUAAGAAACUUGAAUUUCUAUACAGAUUUAUUUAGCUCUUGUGAUGUUAAGACAUGGUCACAGACCUAUACUUACCUAUAGAACAUUCUUGUUUCCUGUAUAUCUCCAUUCUUCUUUCCUAUUGUCACAAGUUUCUGGAUUUCUUUUCUUUGAUACAGACUGCAGAAUUGCUCACCAGUAUUUAUUUUUCAGAUAGCCUCUAUUAAUCUUGUAUCAGUUUCAGAUACUCUUAAUUCUUUAUUCCUUUUUAUGUAUUGUUACUUCUAUAGGUAAAUUUGGUAAGCUUUUAUGAAGCCUCAUUUUCAUAUUGUUUUUCUAUUGUUUAAUAUUUGGCGUGCUUUUGGAAAGUUUUGGUUGCAAAAAUUUGAGUAUUCUAAUGUUUGUAACAAAAUGGAUGACGAUAACAUAUUGCAAUCUACUACCAUGUCUAUUAUGUAAUCUAUUCAACCAUUUUUUUUCUUAUUAUCUUUUUAUUUGUAUUUAUUGUGUCAUUGAUCUUCUUUGUAUAAUAUAUAUUUUUCUAGUGAGUCUCCUAUGCCAUUUGUUUUUCUUGAUACUAGCUCAGGACAACAAUGAGUUUUUAUUGUAAUAAUUCAUUUAGAUGCUUUUGCAAGUUCGUCCAGUGGCCCAAACCCAACUGUAAAAUAGAACCCAACCCAAUUCCAACCCUAAUUGUGUACGAGACCUAAAAGUGAAGUGUUAAAUGAGCACUAUAUAUAAACCCACUACAACAAAAUCGGGUAUUUACGAUGGAAAUUAAGCCUUAAAUCCUUCGUAAGGUCAAAAUUUACGACGGAAUAUUUCCGUCGUUUUUGCUCAAGUAGUAAGUUCGAAAAAACGGCACAAUUUUCAGCAUCCGUCGUAAGUAUGGUCAAUCGUUGUAAGUUUUACCUGCGUCGUAAGUAUGGUCAAGCGUUGUAAGUUUUACCUGGUGGGACCCACCACAAACAAAAAGCUAAUUUUUUACAAAUAUUUUCCAAUAAAUAUUAACAUGUUACAAUAACAUCCGUAAGGUUGGAUCGUCCAAAAUGAUUUUUAAAAACAUAGUAUUAACACAUUAGAAUAACAUCCGUACGGUCAGAUCGUCCGAAACGAUUUUUAAAUGUGGCUAGUGGCAUUAAAUAUGGUUGGUGAAUUUACAACGAAAUCCGUCAUAAGUUUGUGUCCAAAAAAGGGCGCCGCCUUUUGACCUAACACUUAUUUCCUUUUUUAAUUUAAAAUAUAUUAAAAUAACAAACUUAUGACGGAAGACCACAUUCCGUCGUAAGUUACUAAUGUAAAAAUGACACCGUACUUAGAACUGAAUUUUUUUUUAUUUUUUUUCCAAUUUAAAAAAUAUUAUAUAAAGGAACUUACGACGGAGUUGUAAAUCAAUGCACGACUUCUGUCGUAAGUUUUCCAUCAUAAAAGGGGAACUUACGGCAGAUCGGUCGUAAGUCAUCCGUCGUAAUGAACCAGUUUCUUGUAGUCACCCCUGGUAUGGAAAUAAGUACAAACAGAUUUGAGAUUGGCAAAAAGUCAAACCCUAGUCUUCUUUCAUUCUUUCGGUAGCUCUACUUGUAGUGGUGUAAUUGAUUUAUGUUAAAAUCGAUUGUUAUGGGGGGAUUAAAGAUGUAAGAUUAUGAAAGUUUAAGCAAACAUAUACCUGCUUACACAUUUCCCAAAGAGGUUUUUGAGCCUAAGGAUUUUGUGAGGCUGCCCUUUAAUAUUAAUUAUCAUUAUUAUUAGAUAUAAAUAAUUUAAAUUGAGUUGAAUUUUGGUUUAUUUGAGCUGAAAGUUUUUUUUUAGGCUGCCUUUGAGUUUGCGAGAUACUAGUUAUAGUAUUCAUGAUAUUUAUUUAUUAUCUAUGUUAGAUUUAGGUUAAGAUUUUAGUCCUGCUAUGCAUAUUUAUCUCUAUGCUUGAAUUUGGUAAAUAUAUGUAAAUUCCUCUGUACAAUCUCAUUGCAUAGUGAUUCAGUUUCAUGGCUUCCGAGUACAAUGUAUCGGUUGCCUUCUGUUGAUUUAUUAAGUAAGAAUAUGUCUAAUAGGCGGCACUCUUUAUUCCGUGCUAUCUUUUUCUCCGGUGUUACCGGUUACCUAUGUUUCCGGUAAGUAUAGUUAAUUUACAAGCUGGCAUCUUGUCUUUAUUGUUUGUAUUUUAAUUUUUAUACAAUCUUGCUUUAAUAUUAAGUUUGUACAAUUAUUUCAUGACUUUCAGGGGUUCCUGAUGAGUUUUGAGGUUUUUUUUCGUUGUAUUGCGGUAUCUUUAUUAUUAUUAUGUAGUCGCGGUGAAUUGUAAGUCUGAAACAUUUAAAAUUGGUUUAUUUUCUUUUGACUAGGAAGUUUUUGGUUUAAGAUUCUUGAAUAUCUAUUCAGAUUUGAUGAGCCACUACUAUGUUGUUCCAACAAUCCUCUACUUAUUUAAAGAAAUUUCUUGUUGUCUGUCUAUCUCCAUUCGUUUUUGAUACUUACGAUUGAUUCAAAUUUCUGGAUUUCAAUUUUUAUAUACUAAACUGCUCUGCAAGUAUUUUUGUUUCGAAUGACCUCUGUUUAUCAUGUAUCACUUUCAGCUAAUCUGUAUAUCUUUUGUUUCCUUGUAUCUGGUUUUGCUUAUAUGAUAGUACUUAGGAAUUGUCACUUAGGUUUUUUUUUUUUCAGAUUUUACUGUAUUGUUUAGUAUUUAGUGUGCUUUUGAAAGAGGGUUAAUUGAAGAACUUUACAUAUCCAGUGUGUGUAACAAUCUGUAACAAACCUUUGUUUUCGUCCUUUCUUUUUUAGCACCUGGAAUCUCCAGACUGUUAGCUGUGUAAUUGAUUUACACAGCAGCAUUAAUGCCGAAUGUUAUGGGGAUUAGGGAAUGUGGGAUUAAAGUCUAAUUUGUGAGAUCUUUCGACUCACACAUCUCUCUAGGAAAGUGUAACCAAACAUAUAUCUGAUUACACAUUUCUGAGAGAUAUAUUUAAGCCGAAAGAUUUUCGGAGGCUGCCUUUAAUUUUAGCAGUAACAGGGGCAGAGAGUUAAAUCUCAAGGACACUCUCGGAGUUUAUGUCCACGCGGUAACAAUAUUAGUUAUUAUAAUUUUUACUUAUUUAUCAUCAAUCUUAGAUAUAAAUACUUAAAUUAGAAUUUAGUCCUACUAUGUAUUUUGACGUCAUCUUAAUGCUUGAAUUUGGUGAUAUGGCAAUAUUGUGCAUGUGAAUUUCUCUGUACAAUCUGACUGCAUUGUGAUUCACUGUAUAAGUUAUCCUCUGUUUAUUUCGCUACGUAAUAAAUGUCUAUUUUGGUAAAUCCUAUGUCUAAAAUCCUCGAUGUAGCAUAUUGUGUCUAGAGUUUGUAUUUCAAGUUUUUUAUUUGAUUACUUGCUUUAAUAAUAUGUUUAUCCACAUAAUUCAUAACUUUGGGGUGUCGCAUAAUAAUAAUCUCUAAGUGUGUUAUUACUUUAGUUUUCUACUCAAUAUAAACCUUUGAGUUUGUUAUAAUUUUUAAAUUUUUGCGGAUUAUUACUUUGUAUUGUUAUGUAGUCAUGGAGAUCUGAAAGUCGAUACGCUUGACCUAGUUUAUUCUCUUAGCUACUGAUGUUGUGGUAUUUGGUUGUUUUCUCUCUGGAUUCUUACAGUUUCAACAGCCAUCUUCAAAGUUCGUAGUUGUUUUUUUUCAAAAAUAAAAAUAAAAAUAGUAAUGUCGUUCAUCAUUUUUAAGAAUUGUUAGUAUUUUCGUCAUAUUCUCUGUUAUCUAUGUAAACAUGACAAUCAAUUUUCCUAUACUAUGACCGGUAAGUUUUUGGUAGACCUGGGAAACAGUUCGUGUCGUGUAUUUUCGUGUUUUCGUGUACUGAACCCUAAACCCGAACCCGAACUGUUUCGGUUUCGUGUACCAGUUCUGGAACACGUACACGAACCGAAUUAUUUCGUGUCAACACAAACCGUACACGUUAAGUACACGAAAAAUUUCGUGUUCUUUCUGUGUACCAAGAACAGUCCGGAUGAAAUGUACACGAAAUACACAUUUGUACACGAAAGUACACGGAUUUCACAAAAAAUCUAUUAUUUUUAUAAUUUUUCUGUGACAAACAAUAGAUUAGACAUAUAAUAAAUUCAUAAGAUAAAAGAAAUGAAAUAACAGAACUAAAAUUUAUUAAAGAAUAUAUAUAAAUAAGUAUAAUAUAUUUUUUAAUUUAUAUUUAUUUAUUUAGUUCGUGUACUUUCGUGUCGUUCGUGUACUUAUAUCAAAAACCGAACCCGACACUAAUAGUAACGUGUACUUUUCGUGUUCGUGUACUUUCGUGUUCGUGUAUCGAAUAUUGAAAACCAAACCCAAAUUUUCGUGUUGUGUUUUCGUGUCGUGUACCGAAUUGCCUGGUCUAGUUUUUGGGUUUAAGAUUCUUGAAUUUUUAUACAGAUUUAUUUGGCUCUAAUGAUGUUUAGACUUUAGACAAACCUCUAUUUACCCAUAGAAAAUUCUUGUUUCCUGUAUAUCUCCAUUCUUCUUUCCUAUGACUGCAGAAUUGCUCAUCAGUAUUUAUUUUUCAGAUAACCUCUGUUUAUCUUGCAUCACUUUCAGAUACUCUUAAUUCUUUAUUCCUCUUUAUGCAUUGUUACUUCAAUAAGUAAAUAUGGUAAGCUUUUAUGAAGUCUCAUUUUCAGAUUGUUUUUCUAUUGCUUAAUAUUUGGUGUGCUUUUGGAAAGUGUUAGUUGCAAAAAUUUGAAUAUUCCAGUGUUACACUGGAACAAAAUGGAUGACGAUAACAUAUUGCAAUCUACUACCAUGCCUCUUAUGUAAUCUAUUCAACCAUUUUUUUUUCUUAUUAUCUGUUUUUUUAUUAUUUAUUGUGUCAUUGAUCUUCUUUGUGUAAUAAUAUUUUUUCUAUCGUGUCUUUGAAUAUAUUUUUCUCUAUUGAGUCUCUGAUGCCAUUCAAGCCCAUUAACAUUUGCUUGCAAAGAUAAAGGCUCGUUGGUUGUGGAUUUAGUUUGUUUAUAGUGCAGGAAAGUGAUGAAGAUUAUAUUUUGUAGUAUGUUUGCAAGAUUGUGUCCCGUCACAUCUUAUGAUAAAAGGCGAGGAUACACAUUUCAUCGAUAUCUUCAGAAGGCUAGAAAUUCACAUGUUAUUGCAACAACUGUUUUUGCUUAUCAAUUUUUAUGCAAAUUAUUACCAAAAUUUGUAAUAAAACGAUCCGAUAUCUGAGCAGAAGGGUGUCCGGUUUCACCUGGUUCAUUUUACAACUCUACGCAUGUGUAAUCACUCAAAAUGACUAAGAGAUAGAUGUGAUUAUAUCCAAAAAUACUUCCUAGAAGUGUGAAUUUGAAGUAAGGCUUGCUGGAAUAAGAUACAGGAGAUUUUCUUGCUGGAAUAAGAUACCGGAGAUACAGGAGAUUUUCUUGCUGGAAUUUGAAGUGUGAAUGAAUAAGAUACCGGAGAUUUUCUUGCUGGAAUAGCAAGGCUUGUGGAUCUUAAGGGAUUAAACCUCUGGAGGAAUCAGUUUUAUGGAAAGAUUCCUGUGCAAAUUGGUAGACUAUAUCAGUUGGAAAUUCUUGAUCUGUCCAAUAACAAAUUUUCAGGUGACAUCCCUCGAAGCAUGUCUUGUACAUUUAACUUUCUUUGAUUAUUUAGACGUUUUUUGAUUAUUCAUAUAUAGUAUUAUAUAUUUAUUUUAGACUAAAUAAUAAUUAUUUGAAUAGUUGAAAUAAAAUGAUUUUUAAUGUUAGUGGAUCAUAUUCUGCUCAUAUUCGAUGGAUCGUAAACUACCUAGUUAGAAAAUAAUACUGGUUCAUAUGUGGAUUGGAUCCGGAGCUCAAGUAUCGGGGAUUAUUUUAUAUCGGAAUAAAAUUAUUCCAAACCCGAAUCUAGACACAAUUAAAAAAAAAAACGAUCCGAUAUAUGAGCAUAAGGGUGUCCAGUUUCACCUUGUUCACGUGUAAUCACUCAAAAUGAGAGAUAGAUGUGAUUAUACCCAAAAAUGCUUUUUAGAAGGGUGAUUUUGAAGUAAAAUCUUAAGUCCCACAUAAUUGCGGAAAGAGCCUUUGAAGGUUUGUGCGGUAAGAACACUUUUGUAGUGCUUAGAUGUAUUGUUCUACCACUUACGUGUGCGCAGUUCUGCGGUUUGCCAUGCAUUGGAGACCUACAUGUUUCAUGUUCUUAACAAACUCGAGGUUGAUUUCAUGUUUCAUGCAUUGAAGCCAGGGCUCCAAGGUUGAUUUCGAGGUAAUAUAUACUGCUUUUCUCUGAUUAUUGGUUUUUUUAGAGCCAAGAAAAUAUUUUUAUUAAGAAAAAGCAUAUAUAAAAUCUGCAAGCACAUAUGAGACCAUCUCCGAGAAUGCUGUGUUUCACCUUGCUUACCAAAUUUUUAUGAUUUGUCUCGAGAAUGAUUUAUUUGAAACUGAAUUCUUACCAAUUUUUUAUCUGUAUUUGAUUCUUGGUUUAUCAGUACCCCUGAAUUAUAUCUCACUAUUGGAAAAAUGAGUAGAAUUUUUGUUUUCAACAUGAGGAUUGAAUUUUCUGAACUUUUCAUACUGGGAUUGUAAUAUGUUGCAGGACUGUGCAAGGGCUAAUCACAUUGACAUUGUGUUAAAAUUCAUUCUCUCGAUGCUUUCCGAAGCUUUAUUUCUUUGGUUUUACAGGGUGACCACCAGGAGAAAACGCCAUGGUUUUAGCCUUGCUCCUUUUAAGACGGGAAGUUAUGAUGGGGCCGUUUGGGUGAGCUUAAAAAAGUGCUUCUUUAAAGUAAAGAAAUGAAUUAGUAGUGCGAAGUAAAUUAAGACUUAUAGUGAUUAAACUAUUUGGGAAAAAAGAAGAAGUCCUGAAACAGAAGUUAGCAUUCUUAGCUUGUUAUAAGUACUUGUAGGUUUUUACACAACGGUCAAGAAAAGCAGAAGCCAGCUUUUUACCACAUAAAGCCAGAAGUAGUCGUUCCCAAACAUCCUCCAUGUCUGAGUUUAUUCCCUCAGUUCAUUUCUGCAAUAUUUGUAUUUGAUUUCAGUUUAAGUUUCUUGGAGCAUGUCUAAUGACAUCUUUAAACAAAUUUUUUAAUUUUAAAUUUAGAAAUAUGUGAAAAAGUGUCCCAAAGAGCUCAGCUCCUUUUCUUUUUCUUUUUUCCCAAAACAAGCUCAGCUCUUCUAAUAUAAAUGUUUUUAAAUAAUUGUCAUGAUAUUAAAUAUAUUAAUUUUAAUAUAUAAAUGUUGAAAAUUUUGUGAUCUGUGAGAGGAAAAUAUUAUCUAUUCAAUAAUUAGGGAGUAAGGCUAGUUCGCAGACAAGACUGGAAAGCACUCCUUUUACCCAAGUGAGCUGAUGGCCAUUCCUUUUGUGAAAGAAAAGAGCUUUUAGGACUACAAUUUCAUCAAUUCAGAGAACCUUCACAGUUCACACAUUGGGUCUCCGGAGACUUCCCGGGCAAUCAUUUUGCAUUUAUAUCGACAUUAUAUCCCUUAGACAACCAUUUUCUUGAGUCGUAUCAUAAUGGUGUGUGUAAUGGUGAUGAGGAAUGCAUUACUUGUUUGGUUUCUAGUUUUCGGUAUGCUCUGCAUGGGAACAAUCUUACUGUCUUCUGCUUCAUCAGAGCUGGAUUCAAACAACACGAUGGUGAAUAAUAACAACAAGUGCAUUGAAACAGAGAGACUUGCUCUGCUCGACAUCAAACAAGGCCUUGCAGACACUUAUGGCAGUCUUUCUUCGUGGGGAAGCAGCAAAGACGACGAGAAUUGCUGCCAAUGGAGUUUACUUGAGUGCGACUCCGACACUGGUCAUGUCACUCACCUUCAUCUUUCAUCUCUUAAUGACGGUGAUACUAAUGAUGCUUCCAAUAUCAGUUCUUCAUUGCUUCUUCUAAGGAAUCUACAGUACCUGGAUCUCAGUUAUAAUGGUUUUGACAUCCCUAUUCCGAGUUUCUUUGGUUCCCUGCCAAACUUAGUUCACCUUGAUCUUUCUGGUUGUCAUUUUCAAGGAGCAAUUCCAGAUGAGCUUGGGAAUCUCUCCAAGCUAAGUUUUCUGGAUCUGUCCUAUAAUCAACUUGAAGGUAUGAUUUCAAACUCCGUUCGUAAUCUGUCAAGCUUGCAAACUGUUGAUUUCUCCCAAAACAAUCUCACUGGGAAUCUUCAAGAUCUCUUGUAUAUGUUGCCUGAGGCUACUUUACAGACAUUGUCGAUAUCUGAAAACCAACUUACUGGUUCACUGCCUGAUAUCACAGCAUUUUCAUUCCUCGAAGAAUUGCUUGUUGAUUACAAUCAGUUAAAUGGAUUUCUACCAAAAGAAUUCAAACACAAAUCAGUUUUGACAAUCCUGUCUUUGUCGAAUAAUUACCUCAGAGGUUCUUUACCUGAUUUCUCAGGAUUUUCAUUCUUACAAGGUUUAUAUCUUAAUGAUAAUAAAUUUUCUGGGAGUGUUCCUGAUUUUGAUGGAUGUUCGGCGUUAGAAUCCUUGUAUCUUCCUGGGAAUCAAUUGACUGGCUGGGAAACUCAAUCAAUAGGACAACUCACUAAUCUUGUUCGGCUAGAUCUUUCAAGGAAUUCAAUCAACAGUACAAUUAAUGAACAUCACUUGUCGGAACUUUACAAUUUGAACCAGAUGAAUGCAUCAUUUAAUUCUUUGACAUUCAAUAUGAGUUCCGAUUGGCUCCCCCCUUUCAAACUUGACCAUCUUUUGUUGGCAUCAUGCAAGUUGGGGCCAAAAUUUCCCAUUUGGAUCCGAAAUCAAACUGAAAUUAGUCUUCUUGAUUUCUCAAGCACCCAAAUUUCAGAUACCAUCCCCAUGUGGUUCUGGGACAACUUUACCAAGAUCAUUAAAUUAGAUCUCUCUUCCAACAAAAUCAGUGGCACGUUGUCCUCCAUACCAUUACAUAUUGAUGAGAUAAAUUUGAGUUCUAAUUACUUUGAAGGACCGUUACCACGCAUUCCCACAAUUUGUUCGGAAAUUAAUCUCUCUCAUAAUAAUUUUUCAGGAGAACUAGUAUUAUCUGCAGCUGAAGUCAUGAGUUUGAGGUUUCUUGAUCUUUCUCAUAAUUUAUUGUUUGGCGAGAUUCCCGAUAGUUGGAAAUACUUUGAAGAUCUCAUAUUUCUCAAUCUAGGAAAUAACAACUUUUCGGGUAGAAUUCCUAUGUCCAUAAGGUAUCUACAUUCUCUCAAUAAAUUGAUUUUACGAAAUAACAAGUUGUACGGAGAAUUUCCUGAGUCUUUAAGAAAUUGCACCGAACUUGGUUUUGUCGAUGUUGGUCUAAAUGGCCUAUCUGGAACUGUGCCAGCAUGGAUUGGGAAAGACCUACCACAGCUGUAUGCUCUGGUUUUGAAAUCCAAUAAAUUUUAUGGGAGCCUGCCUGAUGAUCUGUGUUAUCUCUCACAUCUUCAUUUUCUAGACCUGUCCAUGAACAGACUUUCAGGAAAUGUUCCUCAAUGCUUCAGCCGUCUAAUUGCUAUGACUAAUAAUGGAACUGGUACAACAGAUCAUCACAACAAUCGUAUACUUUCGGCAUCUUCAGAU
rnacentral:lncRNA from 1 species